rnacentral:rRNA from 1 species
GCGAACGGGUGAGUAACACGUAGGUAACCUGCCCUUAAGACGAGGAUAACCGUUGGAAACGAUGGCUAAGACUGGAUAGGAACAUUGAAGGCAUCUUUGAUGUUUUAAAAGACCUAGCAAUAGGUAUGCUUAAGGAGGGACCUGCGGCGCAUUAGUUAGUUGGUGAGGUAGUGGCUUACCAAGACGAUGAUGCGUAGCCGGACUGAGAGGUUGAACGGCCACAUUGGGACUGAGAGACGGCCCAAACUCCUACGGGAGGCAGCAGUAGGGAAUUUUCGGCAAUGGGGGAAACCCUGACCGAGCAACGCCGCGUGAAUGACGAAGUACUUCGGUAUGUAAAGUUCUUUUAUUAGGGAAGAAUGGUACGUGGAAAAACGUACGUGACGGUACCUAAUGAAUAAGCCCCGGCUAACUAUGUGCCAGCAGCCGCGGUAAUACAUAGGGGGCAAGCGUUAUCCGGAAUUAUUGGGCGUAAAGGGUGCGUAGGUGGCCAUUUAAGUCUUUGGUGUAAGUGCAGUGCUCAACGCUGUGAUGCUAAAGAAACUGGGUGGCUUGAGUGUGGUAGAGGCAAGUGGAAUUCCAUGUGUAGCGGUAAAAUGCGUAAAUAUAUGGAGGAACACCAGUGGCGAAGGCGGCUUGCUGGGCCAUAACUGACACUGAGGCACGAAAGCGUGGGGAGCAAACAGGAUUAGAUACCCUGGUAGUCCACGCCGUAAACGAUGAGUACUAAGUGUAGGAGAAAUUCUGUGCUGUAGUUAACGCAAUAAGUACUCCGCCUGAGUAGUACGUACGCAAGUAUGAAACUCAAAGGAAUUGACGGGACCCCGCACAAGCGGUGGAUCAUGUUGUUUAAUUCGAUGAUACGCGA